UUAUAAUUUAAGGUCUGGCCUGCCCAAUGAUUUUUGAAUGGCCGCAGUAUUUUGACUGUGCAAAGGUAGCAUAAUCAUUAGUUUUUUAAUUGAAAGCUGGAAUGAAAGGUUUGAUGAGAAAAUAACUGUCUCAAUCUAAUUGUUUUAGAACUUAAAUUUUAAGUGAAAAAGCUUAAAUAUUAUAUAAAGACGAGAAGACCCUAUAGAGUUUUAUAAUUUUAGGAUUUUUUUUUAUAUGGAAUUUAUUUAUUAUAAGUUUUAAUAUUAUUUUGUUGGGGUGAUGAGAAAAUUGAUUAAACUUUUUUUGUUUUUAUACAUUGAUUUAUGAAUAAUUGAUCCUUGAUUUUGGAUUAUAAGAUCAAAUUACCUUAGGGAUAACAGCGUAAUUUUUUUUGGAGAGUUCUAAUCGAUAAAAAAGUUUGCGACCUCGAUGUUGGAUUAAAAUUAAAUUUUGGUGUAGAAGCUGGAAUUUUAGGUCUGUUCGACCUUUAAAAUUUUACGUGAUCUGAGUUCAGACCGG
rnacentral:rRNA from 1 species